UCCAUCUUCCUCUUCAUCACCAUUCAUCAGAUAAGCUCCCAAUCUAUUUUCUCUCUCUACGUUUCACCCAAUUAUAGCUUUCCAUUUGUUGAUUGUUUCUUAAUAUCACAUAAAUCCACCUCCAAAAUUUCUCAAUUAUCCAUUUGCCUCGAUUCGAGCAAGAUUUCCCCCCAAUUGGUUUUCCCCUAAAUUUUUAGGGUUCUUGUAUAAAUUUCCGGGGAAAAUUCACUUCAUUACCAAUUCCAAAAUUCAACAUCAAUAUCUUCAAAAUGUUGACGACUCAAAAUGAUCAUCAUCAACAACAUAAUCAACAACAAUCUAGGGCUUUACAAGAAUUAUCUUCAUUAGUAUUCAACAUUUUACGUCAUCCUCCAUCACCGUCAACGUUGAAUCUCUCUGAUUUUCUCUAUCCACCUCCAGCGAUUUCAUCGACGCGAUCAUCGUCUGCAUCUUCUGUUAGGUUUCCGUCACAAAUAACGCCUGCAGGAUUCGCAUCUUUAAUGUUAGGGAUUUCUUUGGCUUUGAUGCUUUGUGGAUCGGUGACUUUUUUUAUAGGGUUUAUGUUGUUGCCUUGGGUUAUUGGUUUGGUGAUGAUGUUCUAUUUUAUUGGUCUUGUUACGAGCAUAUCGGUUUUGGGAAGAACUUUUUUCUGUUACGCAACCUCUUCACCGUAUUCUCAUGGAAAGGAUUUUUCUGGAAUUGAUUUGGGAGUACAUUUUAUCUAGUGAAGAGCUUAUUCAUUGUGGGUGUGUUUAGCUGGGAAAGGCCAGAUCCUCGUAUCAUCAUUUUAUCUCCAUUUAGAUAUUGGAGUAUCUUUCUAGGAAGGACAGAAUGUGUUUCAGGAGUCAAUAUGUGCCAUUGAAAAUCUGAAUUUAUGAGGACCUUGACAUUUGUUUUUGAAUCAUGGAAGUUCUUGUGAAGAUGGUAGAGACAUACAGUGCUAUUGCAACGGCAUCAAACAAGGACUUGUAAUCAUGGACUCCUCAUUUAAUGUUUGGGGAAAUGGCUAUGAGCCGGCAAACUGGAAUUUGGAACGUCGGUGUAAACUUAUUUGAAGAUUGUUGGUGGAACUUGUGAAUAACUGAAUAUGGCUUCUUCGUGCAGUAGGGGGGCAAUUUUCUUUAUCACGUUUUCAAAAUUGCCUACUACAGUGCUAUUAUUAUACUAGUGUGGAGAACAAUGAAGGUUCUUUCAUGUCAAACUUGUUAUUUUUCAUAUGAUGAAAAUGUUGCUCUAUAUAAUGUAAAUAAUUAAUGCCAUGAGGCACUACCAUAUGUAGUUCUUAUUUUCGGAUAUUUUCGGGAAAGAAUACAUAGGAAACAACUUGUUUCCGGACAUUCAUGAACAUCAGUAAAAACAAAUUUAGUUGAA